rnacentral:rRNA from 1 species
GACGACGCCGGCGGCGUGCCUAUACUGCAAGUCGAGCGAAGUUUUUUAUGGUGCUUGCACUAGAAAAACUUAGCGUCGACGGGUGAGUAACAACGUAAAGACCCUGCCUCAUAGACUGGGACAACUAUUGGAACCGAUAGCUAAUACCGGAUAACAGUAUUUCUCGCCUCAGAGAUAUUUAAAAGUUGGUUAUGCUAACACUAUGAGAUGGCUCUGCGGUGCAUUAGCUAGUUGGUGGGGUAAAGGCCCACCAAGGCGCCGAUGCAUAGCCGACCUGAGAGGGUGAUCGGCCACACUGGGACUGAGACACGGCCCAGACUCCUACGGGAGGCAGCAGUAGGGAAUCUUCCGCAAUGGGCGAAAGCCUGACGGAGCAACGCCGCGUGAGUGAAGAAGGAUUUCGGUUCGUAAAGCUCUGUUGUUAGGGAAGAAUGGAUAUGUAGUAACUAUACAUGUAAGGGACGGUACCUAACCAGAAAGCCACGGCUAACUACGUGCCAGCAGCCGCGGUAAUACGUAGGUGGCAAGCGUUGUCCGGAAUUAUUGGGCGUAAAGCGCGCGCAGGUGGUUUAAUAAGUCUGAUGUGAAAGCCCACGGCUCAACCGUGGAGGGUCAUUGGAAACUGUUAAACUUGAGUGCAGGAGAGAAAAGUGGAAUUCCUAGUGUAGCGGUGAAAUGCGUAGAGAUUAGGAGGAACACCAGUGGCGAAGGCGGCUUUUUGGCCUGUAACUGACACUGAGGCGCGAAAGCGUGGGGAGCAAACAGG